GGUCAUGGUGUCUCUUCAAAGCAAAAGAACAGUGACUAAGACAGAAACUGGUACUGAGAUAGUAGGGGGCGUCUCUGUGUCAGACCUGACCAUGCUGUUUUAGGGAGGAUUACGGAAGGGCUUUGGAGCUUUUGGCCUAGGAAAGCUGUUGAGUGUGAAGAGCUCCUUGGCCGGUCCAUAGGAGCUUAGAAGAUAAGAGUGUUGCACAUAAUGCAGAUAAGAAAGGUCUGGCUUGUGCCUUCCAGAUGUAAGCAAAGGCUUAUGUGAAUAAUCUGUGGUGUCUGGUCAGCUGGGGCUGAAGAAUCAGCUGGGAUUAAGAAGAGGCUAGCAUCCUUGAGGUAAAGUCUUCGGGAAGUAUUUCCUCAGAGUCAGCACAUGUAUACCGUACUCCUUAUUCUGCUAUAUAUACUUCUGUUAUUGUUCUUCCUUCCCCUUCCAGUCUAAAGGUAACGGCUAACAUGCAUUUGGUAUUUAGCAUUCCUAUAAAUGCCUUUACAAAUCUAUUGUAUAUAAAAGCGUGUAUACGUGAAUAGUGUAUAUGCACAUAUAGAUACACAAUGUCGGUUUCAAACUUCACUAAGUACUCUUGUACUUUGUGCGUUAUUUCACAUCCUCUUUAUUUUUCUUCCUAUAACGCUUUUUAUAUCCAUUCUUGUUGUUAUGCUUAGCUCUAGGCCAGUGCUUCUCAACCUUGACUGGAAAUUGUAAUUGGAGAGCUUAAAAAACCUACUGAUAUGCAGAUUCGCCAUCCAUCCCAAGGGCACACAGCUAGAUGGUUCAACUGGAAGAUCACAAGUUGAGCAAGUUCAACUUUAUCAUAUUACCAGGUAAUCUAUACCUCCACCAUUUCUCUGCUUUUUGUUAACAGUUCUAUGAAUACACAUCUUUUACUCUUAAAUUUCCCUGAUUUUAAGUGAGGCUGAACAUUUGCCUUCACUCUGCCACCCUGUGGUCCUCAAUCCAGAAAGUGCUACUUGAUGGCAGCACAGGUCUGCCCAGCCAUGACAUGUAGAUACCUGGGCUAAGCUGGUCUCCUCAUUCCUGGACACCAGGCCAUUUUCCUCCCAUCUUAUUUCAAAAUAAUGCUUUACCCCUACCAAUGGAUACUAUUUCUGUCCUAUUUUCAUUCUACAAGAUAAGCAUUGUGGUUUGGAGUCCAGAGAAGCAAUUUCAUUUAUCGGUUUUUAUACUUGAUCAUCACAUGACAUGAAAACUUACAUGCCGUCUUGAAUGUUAUGUGUUUUAUUUCUGACGGGAAAGGUUAUAAGACCUAAAUAUCAUUUGAGAUGACAUUCUUUUUCUCAAAUCAUGUUUUUUUUUU